AGCUGCCAAUCAGUAGCUUAUGCAUGACAUCCAUGGUCAACUAGGCAAAUCAAGGCCAUGAAAGAGAUGUCCUGUUCUAAGGCGAAAUUAUUCCUAGAAGCUCGUCUGCCAAAGUGAAGUCGAAAGAAACGAAGAGAAGAAAAGGUUUUACGAAGAAAGAAAGUAAGUUUAAAAUGGUUUUUUAAACAACUAUUUAGCAAGCGUAUAUAACCAUGCCUAAUGAAUAUUUGUUUUACGCAUGGAGUAAACACAGUGUCUUGGCUAUAUGUAUACGCUAAGCAAACUAUAAACUGCUUAAAAGUUAUAUCGCUCAAAUCUUAGUUUUGGCCGAUCUACCGUAUAUACAUUUUUCAAAUUUCUAACUGUAUUUCGUUUAAAGUGUGCGUAUGACAGCAUGCAUGCAUAAUAAAACAACUUCAAUACCAUUAACUAUUAAAAAUGUUUGAAAUUAGUUUACACUGCAUGUCACCAAACUUUAAAAUUGGUUAAUACUGCAUGCAGUAAACCUUGAUCAAAAUAUACCACCUUAAUACAAAUCGAUCAUUUCUCAUCUUCGGACAAAUGAAUAAGAGUAAAAUAUUUUAUUCUCGUUUUAAGGAGUGGGUCAAAAUGUCGAUUUAUCUUUACUUCGCUUUUGUUCUUGUUAUGAACGCCAUGUUCUUCCCAAAAGGAGACGCUUUUCCCCGCGAGAUGGACAGCAUUGAAAAACGAUCACACAAGCGUUGCUAUUGGAUUGGUGCAAGCGCUGGAACUAAUGCAUGGUGCGACGUAAACUGUAAUCACGUUCCACCAUUUUGUCCCCCGAAUGAUUGCUGGUGCUCGGGAUAUAAGAAAUGAAUGGCAGAUGAAAUGACUUGAACAAUAUACGAUUUAGUUUAGGUACUGGAAGAGUGCAUGUGUUAGAAUUAGGUUCGAAAUAAAUAUUUUAGUUGAAUAUACGAGUGUCCUGGUG